UUCGCAAUGCCCGAAAGGGUGACGAAGCGACGCCGCGUGCGGGUAGAAGGCCUUCGGGUUGUAAACCGCUGUCGGGAGUUAAGAAAUGCAAGGAUAUUAAUAGUGUCUUUGCUUGACUAAGGCUCCGGAGGAAGCCACGGCUAACUCUGUGCCAGCAGCCGCGGUAAUACAGAGGCGGCAAGCGUUGUUCGGAAUUAUUGGGCGUAAAGAGCACGUAGGCGGCUAUGUAAGUCGGUUGUGAAAGCCUUCCGCUCAACGGGAGAACAGCAUCCGAUACUGCAUGGCUUGAGUGCGGGAGGGGAGAGUGGAACUUCUGGUGGAGCGGUGAAAUGCGUAGAUAUCAGAAGGAACGCCGGCGGCGAAAGCGGCUCUCUGGCCCGUAACUGACGCUGAGGUGCGAAAGCUAGGGGAGCAAACGGGAUUAGAUACCCCGGUAGUCCUAACCGUAAACGAUGGGCACUAAGUAGAGGGGUUUU
rnacentral:rRNA from 1 species